GACGAACGCUGGCGGCGUGCUUAACACAUGCAAGUGGAGCGACGAACCAGGGCAUGCCCUGGGGCAAAGCCGCGAACGGGUGAGUAACACGUGGGUAACCUGCCCCGAAGACCGGGACAACCCGAGGAAACUCGGGCUAAUACCGGAUGUGGUCACUCUUCAUAAGGAGAGUGAGCAAAGGAAGCUUCGGCCUCCGCUUCGGGAUGGGCCCGCGGCCCAUUAGCUUGGUGGUGAGGUAACGGCUCACCAAGGCUUCGAUGGGUAGCUGGUCUGAGAGGACGAUCAGCCACACUGGGACUGAGACACGGCCCAGACUCCUACGGGAGGCAGCAGUGGGGAAUCUUGCGCAAUGGGCGACAGCCUGACGCAGCAACGCCGCGUGAGGGAAGAAGGCUUUCGGGUCGUAAACCUCUUUCAGGAGGGACGAAGCUUCGGGAGUGAAUAGCUUUCCGGAGUGACGGUACUUCCACAAGAAGCCCCGGCUAACUACGUGCCAGCCGCCGCCGAAA
rnacentral:rRNA from 1 species